rnacentral:tRNA from 2 species
GGGCCGCUAGCUCAGUUGGUAGAGCAGCUGACUCUUAAUCAGCGGGUCCGGAGUUCGAGCCUCCGGCGGCCCACCA